rfam:Culex pipiens quinquefasciatus supercont3.509 genomic scaffold, whole genome shotgun sequence.
CUAGUUACGGUGACAUGGUGCCCGAAACCAUCGCGGGCAAGAUCGUGGGAGGCGUCUGUUCGCUGAGCGGUGUGCUGGUCAUCGCGCUACCCGUACCUGUAAUCGUGUCCAAC